GUUGGGAAAUGAUGAGAAAAUUUAUUCUGUAUCAGAGGCUCAGAAAUCUGUGCUUUGCUGAGUUAUUUUUGCACGUCAGUCUGAUCCCAAU
rnacentral:snoRNA from 1 species